AUCCAGAUGACGAGUCCUAAAUGGAGCGAAACGCGCAUCUUGUAU
rnacentral:hammerhead_ribozyme from 1 species